rnacentral:sRNA from 1 species
CGUGCCUGCCCUCCUUUGGGCGCUUCCUCCCUAGACUUCGGGCCGUUCCGCAAGGGCGGCCUUUUUUGUGUCUAGG